GAUGAAGAACGUAGCGAAAUGCGAUACUUGGUGUGAAUUGCAGAAUCCCGUGAACCAUCGAGUCUUUGAACGCAAGUUGCGCCCGAAGCCAUCAGGUUGAGGGCACGUCUGCCUGGGCGUCACAUAUCGUUGCCCAAUGCCUAUUGCAGUGCAAUAGGAAUUUCUAGGGCGAAUGAUGGCUUCCCGUGAGCGUUGUUGCCUCGCGGUUGGUUGAAAAUCGAGUCCUUGGUAGGGUGUGCCAUGGUAGAUGGUGGUCGAGUUAGAACGAUACCGAUCAUGUGCAUGCUCCCCAAAAUAUGGCCUCUAUGGCCCACACGCCUCUUUUGACGCUCAUGACGAGACCUCAGGUCAGGCGGGGCUACCCGCUGAAUUUAAGCAUAUCAAUAAGCGGAGGA
rnacentral:misc_RNA from 1 species